rnacentral:lncRNA from 1 species
GACUACUCUUUGUGGAAAAUCUUUCUUAUUUGUCUCUUAUCCUGUGUAAUAACAGCAGCAAUUGGAGUGUUCAUUGUGUGCCUGGUCAAUAAAUAUGAGGACAACACUGCCUCCAUUAUUAUCCAUGUACCCCUAGAUGAUGUGGAACCUAGAAUAAUCAUUCCUGAAACAACCACACUGCCUAUCUCUUAAUCUACAGUGACCACCACAACAGAACUAACUACGUCAAUUGUACACACAACUACCACAACAGAUAAUUCUAAAAUUUCAACUGAACUUAUGACCAUAAGGUCCUCUACCAUCAUGU